rnacentral:lncRNA from 1 species
AUCCAUUUCUGUUAGAAGUCUGGGGAGAAAAAAGGCUAUGAACAAUACACUGCUCUGUCCAUUUGGUCCCUACAAAUCUUCCUAGGCAUUUGAGAUAUUUGAGGUGUCUUAUGAUUUGCACAACAGAACCACCAGCACCUGCCUUUGAAUCAAUACAGCCAGCCGUUAAAAUAACCCUCAUUCUACGCAUCAUAGUAUCCCUAAAUGAAUAGGAUAAUAGAUUCUUCAGUACUGUUUACAAUCUGGUACACUGGAUCUUUGAGGACAUCUGCUGUAGACAUGUGACGUACCCUUUGGUAGUAAUGAUGUAUCUGAAUUUGGUAUUUACUACACCUUUUUGUCUGUUCAGUGCUCAGGUUCACAGACAGCAUCCAGUGAAGUUAGUUUGCAGAGAGACAAUAUUAUAAAUUCUUGGGAAUAAAUUUCUUUGUUACAGAUAUGACCAAUCUGAAAUUACUCCUCUGGAUUCACUUCAUUAAGCAGUAACUUCAGCGGACUUUAGCUCAAUAUGUACAACGAAUCAUUAAGUUUGGAAAUCACCUCUAAGGUCAUCUAGUCCAAUACUGCCUUCUAACCACAUCCCUGAGUGCCACAUGUCCACAGUUCUUGAACACCUCCAGGGAUGGUGACUCCACCACCUCCCUGGGCAGCCUGUGCCACUGCACCACCACUCUUCCUGAGAAUAACUUUUUUCUAGUAUAAAACCUGAACUUUCGAUGGCAAUAUUGCAUAGUGUUUUGGCUUCCUUCUGUGGAUUGAUGAAAGAGAGUUGCAAGACCAACAUGGACAUUCAUCAGUGGACACUUCUCAUUUCCAGAUACUGAACAUAAAUAGCUCUAGGACAAUGCUGUAAUCCUGCAUGGAGGAGGGAGAUGUUACAGACAUAUAUUCAGAUGAUCCAGACCCACCCCAAUACUCGAUGUUACGUCCUGUCUCAUGGACUCCUACAGAAGCACUAAAACCAUGGCACACAAAGGCACCACGGGACUCCCACCAUCAUCAGAGCUUUCCGCCUGCCUCUGGCUCUAGCUGUCAGAACCGCUUCAGCUGAAAUCAAGGUAAGGAAUCAGCAGCACUAAAUACUACAGGACAAAGGCAUAAACUAGCUUUGUAACCCUGGGCAACAUGGAUGUUUGCUGACUGACAGUGUGAAUGACAGCCCAGUUGUCAGUCUAAAAUAUCAUCCUCUAAUCAUUCCAGAUGUCACCCGACAAGAUGAUGGCUACUAAAAAGGGGAAUAAUUUGGGAAAACUCAUAAAGCCCAUUAUCUCCUGCUGAAACCAUUUCUCUUUGCCAUUUCUGAAGUCUCUACAAAAUAGAUCCAGAAUCCCGUAUGUAGCACGCGAC